ensembl:misc_RNA Metazoa_SRP Metazoan signal recognition particle RNA
GCCGGGCAUGGUGGUGCAUGCCUGUAGUCCCAGCCACUCGGGAGGCUGAGGGGGAGGAUCACUUGAGCCCAGGAAUUCUGGGCUGCAGUGUGCUAUGCUGAUCGGGUGUCCGCACUAAGUUCAGCAUCAAUGUGGUGACCUCCCGGGAGCGGGGGACCACCAGGUUGCCUAAGGAGAAACAGAGUGAGUCAAAACUCCUGUGUUGAUCAGUAGUGGGAUCGCACCUGUGAAUAGCCACUGCACUCCAGCCUGGGCAACAUAGUGAGACCCCAUAUCUA